CCACUACUAGUUUAAGAAUUGGAACCAUGAAUUAUUUCAUUGGAAUGAUCCUUUAAAUAAAAAGAAUGGAAGGAUUAUGAGCUAAGCUACAUUCACAGAAUGAAGCUCUGUUUUAAUAGCUAAUUUUAAAAAGCAGAAACACUGCAUAUCCACAUCAGCAGCCCAUCCAGAGGUCUCUUGCAAAGCAGCUCUGAAAGGAUACAAGGAUGUGGACCAGCCGCCAUAGAAUUAUGUAUCUGCCUAGUGCCAGCAUUUCUGCAAUCCAGCCAGUAAGCUGCGGUUCUGUAAAAAUAAAUGUGUGUGUGUGAAUUGGGUUGUUCCAGUACAAAAUCAGGGUUUUUCCUAUUUAAUGUGCGACAUUAGGCUGACAUAGAAGUAAGUGGUUUUUCUGAGUCCCUAAGAUAUGAUUAAGGAAGAAAAACAAGUCCAUCUCCAGAAAAGUUCAGGCACGAAAGAACUAGACAGACUAGUUUGGUUUUGUAAAAACCAAAGUGGUCAUUUCCAUCUUUUUUAAAAUGGAGAAAAAGCACCUUAACGUU
rnacentral:lncRNA from 1 species